rnacentral:rRNA from 1 species
UAAUACUCCAUAGAUUAGAGACACUGGAAUGUUCUUUAGUCGAAAGUUCUGGCGCCUUAGGAUGGAUCUGCGGUCGAUUAGGUUGUUGUUGGGGUAACGGCCCAACAAGCCUGUAAUCGAUACGGGUUGUGGGAGCAAGAACCCGGAGAUGGAUUCUGAGACACGAAUCCAGGCCCUACGGGGCGCAGCAGGCGCGAAAACUUUACAAUGCGGGCAACCGUGAUAAGGGAACCUCGAGUGCCUGUAAAUGCAGGCUGUUCAGAUGCCUAAAACACAUCUGGAGAAAGGGCCGGGCAAGACCGGUGCCAGCCGCCGCGGUAAUACCGGCGGCUCGAGUGGUGGCCACUUUUAUUGGGCUUAAAGCGUUCGUAGCUGGGUUGUUAAGUCUCUUGGGAAAUCUGGCGGCUUAACCGUCAGGCGUCUAAGGGAUACUGGCAAUCUUGGAACCGGGAGAGGUGAGGGGUACUUCGGGGGUAGGAGUGAAAUCCUGUAAUCCUCGAGGGACCACCUGUGGCGAAGGCGCCUCACCAGAACGGCUUCGACAGUGAGGGACGAAAGCUGGGGGAGCAAACCGGAUUAGAUACCCGGGCAGUCCCAGCCGUAAACUAUGCGCGUUAGGUGUAU